rnacentral:rRNA from 1 species
UACGGGGGGAGCAAGCGUUGUUCGGAAUUACUGGGCGUAAAGGGCUCGUAGGCGGCCAACUAAGUCAGACGUGAAAUCCCUCGGCUUAGCCGGGGAACUGCAUCUGAUACUGGAUGGCUUGAGUUCGGGAGAGGGAUGCGGAAUUCCAGGUGUAGCGGUGAAAUGCGUAGAUAUCUGGAGGAACACCGGUGGCGAAGGCGGCAUCCUGGACCGACACUGACGCUGAGGAGCGAAAGCCAGGGGAGCAAACGGG